UCCGCCAUUCGCUGACUUUUUCGGCCGCGUGGAGCUGCUGUCGUGUGCCGGAACGCGAGAGGUCCGAUUGGGCGGCAUAGCUGGAGGUGGAGAUCUCGUUGAUGAUGUCGAGCGCGGCCUGCAGGGCGGCGUGCUUGCCGAGCACUUGCUCCCGAUGCUGCCGCUGAUCGGGGGACUCAUCCAUCAGCGCCGAGCAGUCUCCCAGAGCGUAGAGCUGGGCCAGCAGCUCAGAGCUAAUGAACUCUUUCACCUUGCCAGAGGGAUUAUAAACAGAUGCGACAAGUCAAACACGUUAGAUGCUGUCAUGUGAUAUUUCACUCGGCUUUAUGGCAUUUCUUACAAGAGGGGUGAAAAUAUGACAUGGGAUUCUGCUUUUCUCUUUUGAGCCACUGG